rnacentral:rRNA from 1 species
UCCCAGACUCCUACGGGAGGCAGCAGUGGGGAAUAUUGCACAAUGGGGGAAACCCUGAUGCAGCGACGCCGCGCGAGUGAAGAAGUAUCUCGGUAUGUAAAGCUCUAUCAGCAGGGAAGAAAAUGACGGUACCUGACUAAGAAGCCCCGGCUAACUACGUGCCAGCAGCCGCGGUAAUACGUAGGGGGCAAGCGUUAUCCGGAUUUACUGGGUGUAAAGGGAGCGUAGACGGCCAUGCAAGUCUGAUGUGAAAACCCGGGGCUCAACCCCGGGACUGCAUUGGAACCUGUGCGGCUGGAGUGUCGGAGAGGCAAGUGGAAUUCCUAGUGUAGCGGUGAAAUGCGUAGAUAUUAGGAGGAACACCAGUGGCGAAGGCGGCUUACUGGACAGUAACUGACGUUGAGGCUCGAAAGCGUGGGGAGCAACCAGGAUUAGAUACCCGGGUAAC